CAGAAUAUCUUUUAUUUAUUUGAUUGUCCCCUGGUCAUCAGCCUUGUUCUUGUCAAGGGGCCCAAACAUUCUCAUUCAAAGGCUGUAUUUACAAACGAAGUGGGAUGGCCAUAAAACUGAUGACCUUGCUGCUUCUGGAAUCUCAUAAAAAGUUUCCAAGCUGCUCCUCCCCAGAGCAAAUAAGGGCGUUGCAGUUGCUGGUCCCCUGGCAGGGCUCCAGCUGCAGCUAUUACAUUCCUCCCUCAUCAGCUUUCCUCUGAGGCUCCGAAGGCAGACACGCCUGGCCUGCAUGUCAGGGUGCUUAACUCUGAAGGUGCUGCUGUGCUUGGAGCGCUCAAACCCAGAAGUGGGGGCAACAGAGAAAACAAAGGGGAGAAGGGAGGAAAGAGGCAACGUUGCCUGAGAUGCUGUUAUGUGCCAGGCACUGGGCAAAGACUUUUUCAUUAAUUCUCUUAUCCAAGCUUUAUCACUUAUUCAUAGGCUAGCCCUCCCUGGACGCUUUAACCCAUACUGCUCAUUUUGUUGGGGUCCCAUGGAUAUGGCUCAUUAAAAUGUAUCUAUUUUCCAAUGGCCUGUGCAGUAGACACAACCAGGUGAUACUGAUGAGGUCAAUGAGAGGCAAUGCACAUGCAUGUGGGUGGGGCUUCUGGGAAUCUAUUGUUUUACUGAUAGACUCGUACUUAGUGGGCAUGUGUGUGUUGUCCUUUUUCAUGCCUCCCGAGGAUGUGAAGCUUAGAGGAGCAGCACCCAUCUUAUGAUCAAAAGGAUAAACGAUGGUAAAACAGAAAGAAGGAAAGAGCCUGGGUGUGAAUGGCGAAAUGGAGAUGCUUCCUCAACCCCCAUCUCCCUGUGUAAGACUUCUUGUUACCAUGAGAAAAUAGUCCCCUUCCUUGUGGUGGUAACAGACUUGCGAGUGGUCCUGGGGUUCCCAUCUACUCCACUUGAACGCGGGUGGGACCUGGGACUUGCUUCUAACCAGUAGAAUAGGGCAAAGGUUAUGGGAUGUCCCUCUGUGAUUACAUUAGGUUAUAUAAGGCUUCACCCUGUUAGCGGACUUGCUAUAGUACUCUCCUUGCUAACUUAAUAAAGUCAACAGCCAUGUUGGAAAAGUCCACAUGGCCAGGAACUAUGGGUGGCUUCUAGGAACUACAGAAAACCUCUAUAAACUGUGGGAGACUUCUACGAACUGUGAGUGAACUUUAGGAGCUAAAUAUGGCCUCCAGACAGCAAGAAGUCAGGACCCUCAGUCCUACAGCUGUAAGAAAAUAUAUUCUGUCAACAACCUGAGUGAGCUUGGAAGUGGAUUCUUCCCCAGACAAGCCCCCAGAUGAGAAUGCAGCCCAGCUGACACCUUCAUUGCAGCCUGGUGAGACCCUGAACAGAGGAUUCAGCCAAGCCAUGCCAGACUCCUGAUCCACAGAAACCGCAAAGGAGAUAUUAAUGAAAGAUGAAAGAAAGAAAGAAGGAAGGAGAAAUGGAGGGACGGAGGGAGGGAAAAUGAAGAAAAGAAAAGAAGAAAACAACCUUGCAACCCAAACCCCACUCCCCUCAAGAUUUACUGUGAUUCCACCUUCAUUUCCUAAUCUCAUUGCCUAAGCCCUAAAUCC